rnacentral:rRNA from 1 species
ACGGGAGGCAGCAGUAGGGAAUAUUGCACAAUGGGGGAAACCCUGAUGCAGCGACGCCGCGUGAGUGAUGAAGUAUUUCGGUACGUAAAACUCUAUCAGCAGGGAAGAUAAUGACGGUACCUGCAUAAGAAGCCCCGGCUAACUACGUGCCAGCAGCCGCGGUAAUACGUAGGGGGCAAGCGUUAUCCGGAUUUACUGGGUGUAAAGGGAGUGUAGGUGGUCGGGCAAGUCCGAUGUGAAAGCCCGCGGCUCAACCGCGGGACUGCAUUGGAAACUGUCCGACUGGAGUGCAGAAGAGGAAAGUGGAAUUCCUAGUGUAGCGGUGAAAUGCGUAGAUAUUAGGAAGAACACCAGUGGCGAAGGCGGCUUUCUGGACUGUAACUGACACUGAGGCUCGAAAGCGUGGGGAGCAAACAGGAUUAGAUACCCUGGUA